rnacentral:rRNA from 1 species
AUUGAACGCUGGCGGCAUGCUUUACACAUGCAAGUCGAACGGUAACAGGUUAAGCUGACGAGUGGCGAACGGGUGAGUAAUGCAUCGGAACGUGCCCGCUCGUGGGGGAUAACGCAGCGAAAGCUGCGCUAAUACCGCAUGCGAUCUGAGGAUGAAAGCGGGGGACCGUAAGGCCUCGCGCGAUCGGAGCGGCCGAUGUCAGAUUAGGUAGUUGGUGGGGUAAAGGCUCACCAAGCCAACGAUCUGUAGCUGGUCUGAGAGGACGACCAGCCACACUGGGACUGAGACACGGCCCAGACUCCUACGGGAGGCAGCAGUGGGGAAUUUUGGACAAUGGGCGAAAGCCUGAUCCAGCAAUGCCGCGUGCAGGAAGAAGGCCUUCGGGUUGUAAACUGCUUUUGUACGGAGCGAAAAGGCUCUCUCUAAUACAGGGGGCUCAUGACGGUACCGUAAGAAUAAGCACCGGCUAACUACGUGCCAGCAGCCGCCGUAA